rnacentral:lncRNA from 1 species
UCCCUAUGGCCACAGAGACCUCCCCGUACAGCACGUGGCACACCGCUGGGGAUGGGGACAUGUCAUUGUCAUUGUCAUUGUCAUUGUCAUUGUCAUUGUCAUUGUCCCUAUGGUCACAGAGACCUCCCCAUACAGCACAUGGCACACCGCUGGGACAGGGACAUGUCAUUGUCAUUGUCCCCAUGGCCACAGGGACCUCCCCGUACAGCACGUGGCUCACCCCUGGGACAGGGACAGGGACACGUCAUUGGCAUUAGCAUUGGCAUUGGCAUUGGCAUUGGCGUUGGCAUUGGCAUUGGCAUUGUCCCCAUGGCCACAGGGACCAGCCCCAGGCACUCCCCGUACAGCACGUGGCACACCACUAGGGACAGGGACAUGUCAUUGUCAUUGUCCCCAUGGCCACAGGGAUCUCCCUGUGCAGCACGUGGCACACUGCUGGGGAUGGGACAGGUCAUUGUCAUUGUCCCCAUCACCAUGGCCACAGGGACCAGCCCCAGGCGCUCCCUGUACAGAACAUGGCACACCGCUGGGACAGGGACAUGUCAUUGUCAUUGUCAUUGUCCCUAUGGCCACAGAGACGUCCCCAUACAGCACAUGGCACACCGCUGGGACAGGGACAGGGACAUGUCAUUGUCAUUGUCAUUGUCACUGUCCCCAGGGCCACAGGGACCAGCCACAGGCGCUCCCUCUACAACACGUGGCACACCACUGGGGACAGCGACAUGUCAUUGUCAUUGUCCCCACAGCCACAGGGAUCUCCCUGUGCAGCACGUGGCACACCGCUGGGGAUGGGACAGGUCAUUGUCAUUGUCCCCAUCACCAUGGCCACAGGGACCAGCCCCAGGUGCUCCCUCUACAACACGUGGCACACCACUGGGGACAGUGACACAUCAUUGUCAUUGUCCCCAUGGCCAUAGGGACCAGCCCCAGGCACUCCCCGUACAGCACGUGGCACACCACUGGGGACAGGGACAUGUCAUUGUCAUUGUCUCCAUCCCUAUGGCCACAGGGACCUCCCUGUACAGUACCUGGCACAUGGCUGGGGACAGGGACAGGGACAGGGACAGGGACAGGGACAGGGAGAGCCAGGGACAUGUCCCCAUGGUCACAGGGACCAUGGAGCACAUGGCA